rnacentral:rRNA from 1 species
AACGAACGCUGGCGGCAGGCCUAACACAUGCAAGUCGAACGGGCGUAGCAAUACGUCAGUGGCAGACGGGUGAGUAACGCGUGGGAACGUACCCUUCGGUUCGGAAUAACCCGGGGAAAC